rnacentral:piRNA from 1 species
UGGGUUACGAGUUUUAAAAUU